GGUUAAGCGACUAAGCGUACACGGUGGAUGCCCUGGCAGUCAGAGGCGAUGAAGGACGUGCUAAUCUGCGAAAAGCGUCGGUAAGGUGAUAUGAACCGUUAUAACCGGCGAUGUCCGAAUGGGGAAACCCAGUGCAAUUCGUUGCACUAUCGUUAACUGAAUACAUAGGUUAACGAGGCGAACCGGGGGAACUGAAACAUCUAAGUACCCCGAGGAAAAGAAAUCAACCGAGAUUCCCCCAGUAGCGGCGAGCGAACGGGGAGCAGCCCAGAGUCUGAAUCAGCUUGUGUGUUAGUGGAACGGUCUGGAAAGUCCGACGGUACAGGGUGAUAGUCCCGUACACCAAAAUGCACAGGCUGUGAACUCGAAGAGUAGGGCGGGACACGUGGUAUCCUGUCUGAAUAUGGGGGGACCAUCCUCCAAGGCUAAAUACUCCUGACUGACCGAUAGUGAACCAGUACCGUGAGGGAAAGGCGAAAAGAACCCCGGCGAGGGGAGUGAAAAAGAACCUGAAACCGUGUACGUACAAGCAGUGGGAGCACCUUCGGGUGUGACUGCGUACCUUUUGUAUAAUGGGUCAGCGACUUAUAUUCUGUAGCAAGGUUAACCGUAUAGGGGAGCCGCAGGGAAACCGAGUCUUAACUGGGCGUUAAGUUGCAGGGUAUAGACCCGAAACCCGGUGAUCUAGCCAUGGGCAGGUUGAAGGUUGGGUAACACUAACUGGAGGACCGAACCGACUAAUGUUGAAAAAUUAGCGGAUGACUUGUGGCUGGGGGUGAAAGGCCAAUCAAACCGGGAGAUAGCUGGUUCUCCCCGAAAGCUAUUUAGGUAGCGCCUCGUGAAUUCAUCUUCGGGGGUAGAGCACUGUUUCGGCUAGGGGGUCAUCCCGACUUACCAACCCGAUGCAAACUACGAAUACCGAAGAAUGUUAUCACGGGAGACACACGGCGGGUGCUAACGUCCGUCGUGAAGAGGGAAACAACCCAGACCGCCAGCUAAGGUCCCAAAGUCAUGGUUAAGUGGGAAACGAUGUGGGAAGGCACAGACAGCGAGGAUGUUGGCUUAGAAGCAGCCAUCAUUUAAAGAAAGCGUAAUAGCUCACUGGUCGAGUCGGCCUGCGCGGAAGAUGUAACGGGGCUAAACCAUGCACCGAAGCUGCGGCAGCGACACUAUGUGUUGUUGGGUAGGGAGCGUUCUGUAAGCCUGCGAAGGUGUGCUGUGAGGCAUGCUGGAGGUAUCAGAAGUGCGAAUGCUGACAUAAGUAACGAUAAAGCGGGUGAAAAGCCCGCUCGCCGGAAGACCAAGGGUUCCUGUCCAACGUUAAUCGGGGCAGGGUGAGUCGACCCCUAAGGCGAGGCCGAAAGGCGUAGUCGAUGGGAAACAGGUUAAUAUUCCUGUACUUGGUGUUACUGCGAAGGGGGGACGGAGAAGGCUAUGUUAGCCGGGCGACGGUUGUCCCGGUUUAAGCAUGUAGGCUGAUUAUCCAGGCAAAUCCGGAUAAUCAAGGCUGAGGUGUGAUGACGAGGCACUACGGUGCUGAAGUAACAAAUGCCCUGCUUCCAGGAAAAGCCUCUAAGCAUCAGGUAACAUCAAAUCGUACCCCAAACCGACACAGGUGGUCAGGUAGAGAAUACCAAGGCGCUUGAGAGAACUCGGGUGAAGGAACUAGGCAAAAUGGUGCCGUAACUUCGGGAGAAGGCACGCUGGUGUGUAGGUGAAGCCCCUGCGGGUGGAGCUGAGACCAGUCGAAGAUACCAGCUGGCUGCAACUGUUUAUUAAAAACACAGCACUGUGCAAACACGAAAGUGGACGUAUACGGUGUGACGCCUGCCCGGUGCCGGAAGGUUAAUUGAUGGGGUUAUCCGUAAGGAGAAGCUCUUGAUCGAAGCCCCGGUAAACGGCGGCCGUAACUAUAACGGUCCUAAGGUAGCGAAAUUCCUUGUCGGGUAAGUUCCGACCUGCACGAAUGGCGUAAUGAUGGCCAGGCUGUCUCCACCCGAGACUCAGUGAAAUUGAACUCGCUGUGAAGAUGCAGUGUACCCGCGGCAAGACGGAAAGACCCCGUGAACCUUUACUAUAGCUUGACACUGAACAUUGAGCCUUGAUGUGUAGGAUAGGUGGGAGGCUUUGAAGCGUGGACGCCAGUCUGCGUGGAGCCAACCUUGAAAUACCACCCUUUAAUGUUUGAUGUUCUAACGUUGGCCCCUGACCGGGGUUGCGGACAGUGUCUGGUGGGUAGUUUGACUGGGGCGGUCUCCUCCCAAAGCGUAACGGAGGAGCACGAAGGUUAGCUAAUCCUGGUCGGACAUCAGGAGGUUAGUGCAAUGGCAUAAGCUAGCUUGACUGCGAGCGUGACGGCGCGAGCAGGUGCGAAAGCAGGUCAUAGUGAUCCGGUGGUUCUGAAUGGAAGGGCCAUCGCUCAACGGAUAAAAGGUACUCCGGGGAUAACAGGCUGAUACCGCCCAAGAGUUCAUAUCGACGGCGGUGUUUGGCACCUCGAUGUCGGCUCAUCACAUCCUGGGGCUGAAGUAGGUCCCAAGGGUAUGGCUGUUCGCCAUUUAAAGUGGUACGCGAGCUGGGUUUAGAACGUCGUGAGACAGUUCGGUCCCUAUCUGCCGUGGGCGCUGGAGAAUUGAGGGGGGCUGCUCCUAGUACGAGAGGACCGGAGUGGACGCAUCACUGGUGUUCGGGUUGUCAUGCCAAUGGCACUGCCCGGUAGCUAAAUGCGGAAGAGAUAAGUGCUGAAAGCAUCUAAGCACGAAACUUGCCCCGAGAUGAGUUCUCCCUGAGACUUUAAGUCUCCUGAAGGAACGUUGAAGACGACGACGUUGAUAGGCCGGGUGUGUAAGCGCAGCGAUGCGUUGAGCUAACCGGUACUAAUGAACCGUGAGGCUUAACCUU
rnacentral:rRNA from 1 species